rnacentral:rRNA from 1 species
UACGUAGGUGGCAAGCGUUGUCCGGAAUUAUUGGGCGUAAAGCGCGCGCAGGCGGCCUCUUGAGUCUGAUGUGAAAGCCCACGGCUCAACCGUGGAGGGUCAUUGGAAACUGGGGGGCUUGAGUGCAGAAGAGGAGAGCGGAAUUCCACGUGUAGCGGUGAAAUGCGUAGAGAUGUGGAGGAACACCAGUGGCGAAGGCGGCUCUCUGGUCUGUAACUGACGCUGAGGCGCGAAAGCGUGGGGAGCGAACAGG